UUUCUCAUUUCAGUCUUCGAUGAAACCCAUCCUCCUUCGACAAUUCUUCUCCUCCGACGAAGAAAAAGGCUCCUCCUCCGAAGAAGAAAAAAGGCUCCAGCAAAGCUCCUCUCCGUCACAUGCAUGGAUUCUCCGAUUCGUCUUCCUGGAGUCAAAGGUCGGUGGAGACAUCGGUGAAUCGGUGGAGACGUCGGUGAAUCGGUGGAGACGUCGGUGAAUCCUCUCCUCCUUCGAUGAUUCCUCUCCAACCGAUCUAUGUUUCCGCCGGUUGCAUGUGUCAUUCGGGCUCAUCAUGGCGAUGUCUCUCCAAUUAUAUUCGGCUCCUCUCCUUGCUCCCUGAAGGCGACGGUGGAUUCAUCAACGAAGGUAAACUAAGUCUAAACUUGGUUUUUUUAAUUGAUUGCAUUUGAUAGUUCUAUGUGUUUGAUUAUAUUAAUCAAAGAAUAUGAUGGGUUAAUAAUUGUUGAUCGAUGUGUGUACAUGAGUUUAGUUGAUAUUGGUGUUUGUUUGGCUUUAGAUGAUCGAUGUGUGUAGAUGUGUUGAUCGAUGUGUGUAGAUGAUUUUGGUUAAAGAUCGAUAUGUGUAGAUGUGUUUGUUGAUAUUGGUUGAUGUGUGUAGAUGAUUUUGUUUCCUGAAUUUGGUUAAAGAUCCUCAUGUAUAGAUGUAUUUGUACAUUGAUUAAUCAGUAUAUAUGUGUGUGUUGAUAUUAGUUUGUUUGUUAGUUUGGUACUUGUUAGUUUGAUCAUUUGGGGUUAUCUAAAAGUGGAUGAAUCCUUUGUAACUUGUUUCUUUUAUGUCUUUGGUCUUUGUUUACAUGAGCUGGUGCUCGGCGGAUUGCAAUGGAAACAGCUUGCUUGGUCGUCGACAUGAGUUGGAGUCAAGGCUGAGACUUAGUUAAGGCGAUAUGGAUUUCAAUUCAACAAACCCUUACUCACAGACACCCAACUUCAUUGACCUCCUUAACAGCCAACAAGAUGGUGCAUUUUGCGGUUUAGCCUCCAGCCUCGGUGAAGAGCCUGCAUUUGCUUCUAGUCCAGGUGAUGCUUCCCCUGCACAACGAAAAUAAAGGAGAACCUGGACUCCAGCGGAUGACAUCCUUCUUAUCAGCUCUUGGUUGAACACUUCAAAAGACCCCAUUGUUGGAAAUGAACAAAGGUCUGUGGCUUUCUGGAAAAGAAUUGCUGCUUAUUUUGGAAGCUAUUCAAAUGGUGAUAAAUGGGAAGCUGCUUCUGCGAUCCAGUGUAAACAGAGAUGGCAGAAGAUUAAUGACUUGGUCUCCAAGUUUUGUGGUGCUUAUGAGUCGACAACUAGAGAGAGAGCAUCUGGGAUGAAUGAGAAUGAUAUUCUGAAAAAUGGCACAUGAAAUAUUCUUCACUCUGUACAAGAAGAAAUUCACCUUGGAACAUGCAUGGAAAGAGCUCAAGAAUGACCAGAAAUGGUGUGAUCUAUCAAAUAGUAAGAAGGUUGGAAGCUCAAAAAGAAAAAAGGUUGAUGGUGGUGAGCAAUCUGCAGAAGAAAACAAUGGAAACAGCAGACCUAUAGGAGUCAAGGCUUCAAAAGCAAAGGGAAAGAAGAGCAUUGAAGUGAUGAAGGUUCCAAUGGCUGAGUUCCAAACAAUGUGGGAAAUAAAGGAGAAGGACAAUGCUCAUAAAGAAAAGAUGACUAAGCUGGCACUACUUCAAUGUCUCCUUGGGAAAAAAGAAACCCUUACUGAUUAUGAAGAAGAUAUGAAGAAGAAGCUGAUAAGCGAACUGAUUUGAACCUCUGUUUGAUGUGAACUUGUUGUUAUUUUAACUUAGUAUUUGUAUUUCUGUUUAAGCAUGAUCGGUUAUGUCUUUUGUGUUGAUCGUUGUGAACUUGUUCAUUGUGUUUUCGUGGUGGCUUUUGUUGUGAACUUCUUGUUGUUUAAGUUAGUAUUUGUUGUAAGAUCUUUUAACAUGAUCGGUUAACUUGCAA